GUCUCCGUUGGUGAACCAGCGGAGGGAUCAUUACAGAGUUGCAAAACUCCCUAAACCAUUGUGAACGUUACCUUCAAACCGUUGCUUCGGCGGGCGGCCCGGGUCCGCCCGGUGCCCCCUGGCCCCCUAGCGGGGCGCCCGCCGGAGGAAACCCAACUCUUGAUUAUUAUGGCCUCUCUGAGUCUUCUGUACUGAAUAAGUCAAAACUUUCAACAACGGAUCUCUUGGUUCUGGCAUCGAUGAAGAACGCAGCGAAAUGCGAUAAGUAAUGUGAAUUGCAGAAUUCAGUGAAUCAUCGAAUCUUUGAACGCACAUUGCGCCCGCCAGUAUUCUGGCGGGCAUGCCUGUUCGAGCGUCAUUUCAACCAUCAAGCCCCAGGCUUGUGUUGGGGACCUGCGGCUGCCGCAGGCCCUGAAAACCAGUGGCGGGCUCGCUGUCACACCGGGCGUAGUAGAUUUUAUCUCGCUCAGGGCGUGCUGCGGGUUCCGGCCGUUAAAAGCCUUUUUUACCCAAGGUUGACCUCGGAUCAGGUAGGAAUACCCGCUGAACUUAAGCAUAUCAAUAA
rnacentral:rRNA from 1 species